GAUAUCAACAAUCAUCAAGCCAAUGCUAGAAGAGACUAAGCAGCAGUUCAUCACGUUCACUGUUGGCCAAGAAGGUUCCCCAGAUAUCACAGCCGCAAGAAUGAUGUCUGAACACCUCGGCACUGAUCAUCAUGAGUACCUGUUUACCUCAGAAGAAGCUUGCAGCAUCAUACCCGAUGUUGUUUACCAUCUUGAGACCUAUGAACCAGAGCUCAUCCGAUCUGCGAUUCCCAACUAUUUUCUUGCUCGGCUAGCAUCCAAAUACGUCAAAGUUGUUCUCACUGGCGAAGGUUCUGAUGAACUUUUUGCUGGGUAUCUCUAUUUCCGCGACGCGCCCAACUCUACUGCGAUACAUAAAGAGCUUCGUCGCAUUUUUCACCACCUCCACAAUGUCAAUUGCCAAAGAGCCGACCGCAUGACAAUGGCGCAUGGCCUAGAAGCCCGCGUUCCUUUCCUGGAUCCAAACGUGAUUGAUGCUGUUAUGCAGGUAAACUGUUUGAGAUCAUCUGCUGUCUUGUAUGAAUGUAACAGUUUAUGACGUCACUAUCAUUUCCAAAUCUCGACCUUCAACUCAAGGUAGACCCUGAGUUGAAACGGAUAGAGGGUGAAAACAAGCCUGAAAAGCAUGCCCUUCGUGCACUUUUCGAUGGCGAGAUACCGGAUCCUGUUCUCUGGAGAACCAAAGCGAUGCAAUGUGAAGGAGUUGGAUUAAAUUGGGUCGAUGAUUUGCAGGCUUUCUGCGCUGCUCACGUAACGGAUGAAGAGUUUGACAAGGCGACGACAUU
rnacentral:lncRNA from 1 species